AACAGCCCAUCGCCCAAUCCGCCGCCAGCCUGGCGGACCGGAAAUUUGGCGUAUAGGAGAGACCCUUCCGAGUUCCGACUCCGGUGCAAGUCCCCCUGACUGGGGCUCUUACCCCGAGAGGGUGCAAGGCCCGUAGCUGCCGGAAGGCGGUACUCGGAUGUCCUCUCCUGGGAGUCGGGUUGCUUGAGAGUGCAGCCCUAAUCAGGUGGUAAACUCCAUCUAAGGCUAAAUACGACCUGGAGACCGAUAGCGAACAAGUACCGUGAGGGAAAGUUGAAAAGGACUUUGAAGAGAGAGUUCAAGAGUACGUGAAACCGUUCGGAGGUAAACGAGUGGGCCCUCGAAUUGAGAAGGCGGGGGGACUCAGCCGAACGCCGUUGCCUGCCGUCGUGUCCGCGCUUCCCUCCCGGGACGCGGUGCGGCGGACGUCGGCGGCGGCGGACGGCGCAUUUCUUCCCGUCCUCCGACGCUGCGACCGGUCGGGCGCGCCACGAGCAGUCGGCCUUACACGCGGGAGCUGGCAGGUAGCCGGGACAGUGCCUCCGCGCUGUCUCCGGUGUUUAGCCGUCCCGUUUUCGUGCAGCCGUUCGCCCGACCGCAGGACUCGGCCCUCAGGGGCCCGGCCGUGCCCUCCCCCUGGUGGGGAUCGGUUCUCGGCCCGGAAGGGAGGCCGUCGUCUCUUCCCCGUUUCACCCUAGCGUGGGCGGGGAGCGGCGGUGCCCGUUUGCCGGGUCGUUUCCGAGCGGGUGCGAAACACGGACCAAGGAGUUUAACAUGCACGCGAGUCAUUGGGUCGUGAACAGGCCCAAAGGCGCAAUGAAAGUGAAGGGCGGCUCUCCGUCGUCCGCGUUGGGAUCCGGCGGCCUCGGCCGUCGGCGCACCAACGGCUCGUCCGUGCCGCCACGUCGGCCGGGCGAAGCUAGAGCGUGCACGUUGAGACCCGAAAGAUGGUGAACUAUGGCUGGGCAGGACGAAGCCAGAGGAAACUCUGGUGGAGGUCCGCAGCGGUUCUGACGUGCAAAUCGAUCGUCAGACCUGGCUAUAGGGGCGAAAGACUAAUCGAACCAUCUAGUAGCUGGUUCCCUCCGAAGUUUCCCUCAGGAUAGCUGGCGCUCGGGAGGAAGCAGUCUCAUCCGGUAAAGCGAAUGAUUAGAGGCCUUGGGGCCGAAAAGACCUCAACCUAUUCUCAAACUUUCAAUGGGUGAGAAGUCCGGUUUGCUCGAUUGAAGCCUGGACAUUCUCGGAUGCGAGUGCCCAGUGGGCCACUUUUGGUAAGCAGAACUGGCGCUGUGGGAUGAACCAAACGACGGGUUAAGGGGCCCGAUGCAGGACGCUCAUGAGAACCCAUGAAAGGUGUUGGUUGCUAUAGACAGCAGGACGGUGGCCAUGGAAGUCGGAAUCCGCUAAGGAGUGUGUAACAACUCACCUGCCGAAGCAACUAGCCCUGAAAAUGGAUGGCGCUUCAGCGUCGACCCCAUACCCGUCCGCCGCGGCGGAGAUGCGAUCGCAUUAUGCCGCGGUGAGUAGGAGGGCGCGGGGGCGUGCGUGGAAGGUGCCGGGCGUGAGCCCGCCUGGAGCCGCCCCCGGUGCAGAUCUUGGUGGUAGUAGCAAAUACUCAAGUGAGAACCUUGAGGACUGAGGUGGAGAAGGGUUCCAUGUGAACAGCAGUUGAACAUGGGUCAGUCGGUCCUAAGGGAUGUCCGAAAGGAUUUCCGAAGGGGGCACCUUGUUUCUUGGUCUCCCCCAUGACCGAAAGGGAAUCGGGUUAAUAUUCCCGAACCCGGACACGGAGAUCGGCCCCCUCGGGGGCACGUGCGGUAACGCAAACGACCUCGGAGACGUCGACGGGGGUCCCGGGAAGAGUUGUCUUUUCUUUGUAAGGGUUCGGCUCCCUGGAAUCGGCUCGCCCGGAGAUAGGGAUGCUGAACCCGUAAAGCACCGCGCCUCUUGUGGUGUCCGGAGCGCUCCCGUCGGCCCUUGAAAAUCCGAGCGAGAGUUGGUGAUUUUCGUGCCGGCCCGUACCC
rnacentral:rRNA from 1 species